CCAGUAAAUACGUAAACUGACAGUUAGCUAAUUUUCAAUUAUUGGCUAAAAUCAGCCCAUUGCAGCGGCGUCCACCAGGUGAUAUGGCUCUGGUUCAGGCUAUUACUAUUUCGAUGUGUGUGCAACACUUCUUUGAAAAUGCCUGAGCGUGCAGGUUAACCAGACGUCACACCGUUGUGACGCGCCGACUUCUGUUUGCAGUCGGUACGUAACGUCACAUUGGACCAGUGGUCACAGACACUCUGGACUGAGUCCAUCCUGAUCUGCACUGUCGGGUUCACAGAGUUUGUAUUUGGGCUGUAACGUGUUAAAUGUGCAGUCAGAAUGGACCUACAGCUUUAAAUUGGAUCAUAAAAUAUGUUCGGGUUAUAAAAACACGUUUGUACGACUACAGCCUGAAACAUCCUGGAACAUAAGUCGAGUCAAUAAACCUGCCGACCCUGAAAACGACAUAUUGUGUACUGGAGGCUCACGAGGCGUCUGUGGAUUAUUACUGCUGACAUGUUCUCAGUGUUUGGAGCAAAACAAGCAAAAUCUAAUUGACCUCCACCGUGCUGGAUGGAAAAAUAAACCUGUUAUGUUCACAUUUAUUAAACGGUACCACGAGAGAGAAGUAGUGUGUUAGCUUAUUAACUAUUCAGGUGAACUGACUCUGUGAAGAAAAACUCACAAGAUGUCAGAGGACAGAAUAUCAGCCUUUACCAGCCGCUCCUGCAGCUGACAGUUCAGCAUCUUAUUCAUUAAGAUCAUGAGGUCGUCUUCCCAUGAGUCUCUGCUCAGCAUCAGAAGGUCGUACGCCCACUUUAAUCUCCUCUCGAUGUGAAGUGCUGCUGUCAUCUCCUCUGCUGCUCUGAUCGCUCACUCGUUACCGCCGUCCCUCGACUCCAACAACACGUGUGCGCAUGUUUUACUUUCCCUCCUCGUGUUGCUUGUGUUUCGGCCUCCUCUCCAGGCUCUCCUUCAGCCCCUCGGCAGCCGGCUGUUCUGGCGCUCUGAGUGUCUCCUCCAGCUGUCGGAGCUCCAGACUCGUGCAGAGAGCUCUUCAUGCGGUUCUGAAGAGGCCCGGAGGUUACACAAACCACGGCAGGAAGCUGCGAGUAGUGAUGCAGUCGAGGACACCUGAGGGCUGAACUGGAGAACACACCCGGCUCUUCAUCCAGACCGUCUCUGAGACAACACGUCUUCUCCGGACCUGAAUCAAGUGGUUUUGGUUCUUGGAGCCAAACCAAAUGGCUCCUACAUGGAGUGUGUUAUAAUGUAGCAGGCGUUUCCUGUAGUGAUGUUUCCACAUGUACUUGAGACUGUCAGAUGCCAAGUUGCAUUCUGGGUAGUGAGUGGAAUAAAGGAGAUUGAUUCUGAUUCUUCUG